rnacentral:tRNA from 1 species
UAGGGAGUCGUCUAACGGUAGGACAAUGGGCUCUGAACCCAUUAAUCUUGGUUCGAAUCCAGGCUCCCUAG